CUGAGAGCGACUGUGUUCAUUAGUCUCUUCAUCUUCUUUCAUGUUCUUGCGAUGUCUUUAAUCAUCACAUCUACGAGUUGAGGUUUCAAGAUCCGAUUCUCACAGGCUGAACGCAGCCUCGGGUGAGGUCGUUCGCCAGCAUCUCCUUUUUACCGCUGAUUCCCGGUGUUACCGUGUAAAGACCACCUUCUAAAGCGCAGAAAUGGCCGCUAUGUCAGUGCACCCCGGCAUCUGGAUCCCAGAUAUCAGGAUGUCCAAACCAUUAGAAGAUGAGAGACCCGGUGCUGAAUUUCCAGUAGACAGCACAGGUGUGUAAAUGUUUAUGGGGCUGAAAUGCUGACAAGGGACUCGUUAUGAAAGGGACUCGUGUUAAUGUAUUUAAUAGACUCGAGAAGUAUUGAUAUUCAUCUUUUAAGUCAGAACAUAUUUCCUGAUGACCUUACGAUGGUCUCGGUAAGGCACAUUUUUCUUGCC
rnacentral:lncRNA from 1 species